rnacentral:rRNA from 1 species
CCUACGGGAGGCUGCAGUGAGGAAUAUUGGUCAAUGGGCGGGAGCCUGAACCAGCCAAGUCGCGUGAGGGAAGACGGUCCUAUGGAUUGUAAACCUCUUUAGUCGGGGAGCAAUGCCGGGCACGCGUGCCCGGAGGGAGAGUACCCGCAGACUAAGCAUCGGCUAACUCCGUGCCAGCAGCCGCGGUAAUACGGAGGAUGCGAGCGUUAUCCGGAUUGAUUGGGUUUAAAGGGUGCGUAGGCGGAUAGUUAAGUCAGCGGUAAAAUGUCCGGGCUCAACCCGGGCCGGCCGUUGAAACUGGGGAUCUUGAGUGGGCGAGAAGUAUGCGGAAUGCGUGGUGUAGCGGUGAAAUGCAUAGAUAUCACGCAGAACUCCGAUUGCGAAGGCAGCAUACCGGCGCCCGACUGACGCUGAGGCACGAAAGCGUGGGGAUCGAACAGGAUUAGAUACCCGUGUAGUC